GUGUGAGUCAGUGAGUGACCGGUGACUGGCUGCUGCAGCCAAUGAUGCGAUUCACAUACGUAUUUACCAUAGACUGUAUAUAAUGGUAUUUACGCAGCUAAUCAACGUCAGACGUCCUUAUGUGCAGCCAUCGUUGUUCUCAUAGAUAUGAAUGAGUAGAUAGGACACGCCCCUUUGAGCUGCGUGCUACAGCGAGGCUAAGCUAGUGGGGGAAAAGUUUCAGUGCAUUCCGUUGAUGUAGAUGGCGUGAAAACGGAAACAAGUAUGCCGGCUCACUGUGCUGCAUACAGUUACACACUACGUCGUACGAUUGAGACAAGGAAACUUGGAAUGACUUUUCAUAGGUUUCCCAGAGACUAUGGGCUGAGGAGGAACUGGAAGUUUGUCGGCUUAGACCUGGUGUCAUUCCAUCAGUGUUAAACUUCCCGGCUCAUCUUGGAAGAGUACGUGCCAGAAAGACCACGACCAAGCAGCCUUGUGAUCUUAGGCAGCGUCUCCCUGAGACCAAAGAACUACAGACUCUUCACAACCUGCUCAAACUCUUGGUACAGGACCUCACCACACGGGUCAAGAAGGUUUCUGUCUCAUUUCUACUCUGAAGCUCACCUUCUCCUGCUCAAACUGCUGACAAAUGUUUCUGCUGCUCUAAAGUCUGGUCUCCAGAACUUCCUAAAAACUCUCAAAGUCUCUUCUGCUGCAGGUUGCUUUGUUGAACUGUUCCAGAAAACCUCACUAAACCACAUGGAGGGGCCUCAAGAUAGUCGUCCAAAUGAAACCAUACAAAAACCAAACUAGUACAACCCAAACACUAAAGUCUCCUGCAGCCUACCAGAGAACCUCUGAGAACAGAGAAUCAGGACAGGAACUCUUACCUUCUGGACAACCAACGCUGGUUCACAAACGAAUACAGAAUGUGUCUGACCAAAAACCUCUGAAGACUCACUACAGCCAAGAUAAAGACACAACUCAGCUGUACCAAAUCCACUAAUCACUGCACACAUUAGCACCAUGUGCUAACUGUGGCUAAAGAACCACAUUUACCAAGACAACUAUCCAGUACAAAGCCCUAAAACACACCAAGAAACACAUUAAAGACGAUUUUACUGCUGGAAGCUGCAAGCCAACGCCUAAAGAACAAACUAAAGCAACGGAACCAAACCCGGUUCAGUGGUGAAGAGAAACAGAGGAAAUGUUUGUCUGCAGCUAAAUAAAGCAGGAAGACACUGAGCUGCUCAGGUGUUCCUGAUAACACCAAGCAGCCACCUGGACAGCCAAUAGGAACACAGCUUCCUGGGAGUCCAGAGGUCUGGGUUAGUGAAUGAAAUUUAGUUUAAAGUUGAAGCAGAAAGUUAACAAAGAAAGUUGAAAACCACCUUCUGAUCCCUGAAAUCUCUGAGUUUUCACACAAAGAACACCUGAACAUGUCAAACUGGCUUCAUAGUAGAACCAUCAUUGUAAAAACGUCAUAGUAUGGUGUGUUGCUCAAAAAACAUUAGGACCUGGCUGUCAGGGGACAAACAUGUAAGAAACAUGAGAACAGAGAGAACCCAACCAGUAGGUCACAGUUUAUCAUCCCCCAGUCAUCUCCUGAAGUCCAUAUGGUGAGAGACAUCAGUAUCUGGUUGUUAAUUUACCAGAGGAUGCUUAUAAUCAUGCUGAUGUGGUCUGUACUCUACAGUAUUCUAGUGACUCAAUAAAUGCCUGAGUUGUUUUUUUUAAUGCUUUUUAGUUUUUAAUAAACAAUUAUCAGCCUAUAUGUAAUCAAUAAAUGGCCUUUGCCUAUCUUAAGAAAAAUUCACUCAGAACUCUGAUAUGUUAACAGUACUAAAUAAAUCAAUAAAUACAUGCAUACACACAAAAAUAAGUUAAUACAUUAACUGUGUUAAGAUAAGAUUUAGAUUUUUAAAAAAAAGUUGUUUAUGUUUUUGCAGAAUCCAGUAUUGCUCACUGGUUGGUCAUUACAUUUUGUUAGUUUGAUUUCACUGUUUAAAAUGAUGCCACCUCUUUUCAGACAGAACCUGUGAUAAUAAAACAAUACAAAAUUUUUUGUUCCGUGUUAAUAAAGCACUUAAAGCUUUAA